rnacentral:rRNA from 1 species
CAGUCGCCACGGGAAUACGAAGGGUGCAAGCGUUAAUCGGAAUUACUGGGCGUAAAGCGUGCGUAGGCGGACUUUUAAGUCAGGGGUGAAAUCCCAAGGCUCAACCUUGGAACUGCCUUUGAUACUGGAAGCCUUGAGUUCGGGAGAGGUGAGUGGAACUGCGAGUGUAGAGGUGAAAUUCGUAGAUAUUCGCAAGAACACCAGUGGCGAAGGCGGCUCACUGGCCCGAUACUGACGCUGAGGCACGAAAGCGUGGGGAGCAAACAGGAUUAGAUACCCCGGUAGUCCCUGUCUCUUAUAC